GACGAACGCUGGCGGCGUGCUUAACACAUGCAAGUCGAACGAAGUGGCGAACGGGUGAGUAACGCGUAAUCAACCUGCCCUUCAGAGGGGGACAAAAGUUGGAAACGACUGCUAAUACCGCAUACUGAUGGAGGGUGAUGCGUCUGAUUAGCUAGUUGGAGGGGUAACUGCCACACAAGGCGAUGAUCAGUAGCCGGUGUGAGAGGAUGAACGGCCACAUUGGGACUGAGACACGGCCCAGAAUCCUUCGGGAGGGAGGAGUGGGGAAUCUUCCGAAAUGGACGAAAGUCUUACGGAGCAACGCCGCGUGAGUGAUGACGGCCUUCGGGUUGUAAAACUCUUUUAAUCGGGACGCGGUACCGAAAUAGAAAGCCACGGCUAACUACGUGCCAGCAGCCGCGGUAAUAC
rnacentral:rRNA from 1 species